GCAUUCAAAUCUGUUCCAUAGUGUUAGGGGCUGUGGGCUUCCCUUAGGACCACAAGCCCUGUAGUAGUUUGCUGAUCUGUCUGUAUUUCUGAUAUGAGGCCUGAAGUUAACCUCUGAAUUUACUGGUGUUGAGGUAAUUACUGUUCUUGUAUUACGUUUUUUGGUCUGGCACCUUGCCUGUGCCAAGGCUCUGUACUCACAUUUCCCUUUGUGAGGUCGAUGCAUUCAUCUGCUCUAUUAGCAGUGAUAUUAGACUGCUGGGUUACAUUCUCUGCAUUUCCAGUAGUUGCUGUACUCACUUCAUGAGAUGCCUCUCGUAGUUCAUCUGUCGUUGAUGGAAGGGCAUGCAUCUUUGAUUCCAAAGUAGAAAUCCUCUGUUCUAGCUCAGUACAUUUUCGGUAUGAUCUCCUGGGUCUCUGGCCGGAGGAGCGCAUUUUGUUUUAAUCCAACUUCAAGGUGAAUUGCCGUUCAGUUUUUGCUCGUUGACUUGGCUGGCUCAUUUAAAGUAAAAAACUAACCACUAAAGUUUCAGAUUUUAAAUGUACUGGUUUCACUGUUUUUGCUAAACUAGCUUGUAAAUGAAAUAAAAGAAUGAAAAAGAGUGGAAAUUGCUAAAAGGAUAGGUGAAGCAGGAGCAGUGUGAAAUGCGUCCUACUCGCUUGAGUAGGCGUGUGUCUUUGUAGAGGGAUUCAUGAAUGGUUGUCGUUCGACUCCUCCUAAUUCCUUCCUUGCGUUAAAUUCCUCCCUGCUUGCUCAGCCGUGAAUUCCAGAUCGUGCUGCCAAUACGGAGUGGGUAUGUAAUACAAUAUUUGAAUAGAGAUAAUAGAUUAAUAAUGGCGUGUGUUUUAAACUGUAUUCUGCCUUUCAGGUGAUAUGCUAUAAUUGUCACAGGGGUGACUACAUUCCAAUGGGGGGCGGAACUAAUCUGUGUUAGUUUUCCCCGUAGGGAACAGCUUUAGCGAAACCAUCCGGGAUUAAGAUGGCGGCGCACUGUCCCAAAAUGUAAACAUGGUAGCACAGGCUGUUGUUUAGCAAUUUGCGCUGUGUUAAUUUAAUUAUUGUUCGAAUGCAGCUCAGCUGGAUGGCGGGAGGAAUUCGUUUCAAUGAUUGGUGUGCUUUUAGAGGGGGAGCACUAUGCUGCAGGUAUUCAACAAACAACACGACCGGGAGACUGGAGACGACGCGGGCUGGGCUACGGUGAGGACGAGCGACUGGAGACCGGAGGAAAAGACGAUUACUGAGACUGGCAUUCAGUGGAGGAAACCGGGAACCCUGGAAGACGGAGAAUCAAGAGGGCAGCUACAGCUAAGUACCCAUGGAGAUGUGCUGCUAGUGUAUCGUUGCUAUCGGCUAGCCUUCGGUGCUGCCUGGGUGAUCGUAGGCUACUGGGAUUGCCUGUAUUUGUGCAUCGUUCCCCUGUAUACUCAUGUUGCUGUGCCCACUAAGAAAUGUGCAUGCGAGUUUGAGUUUUCACAGAUUGCAGUGCUGAGUGAGUUUUCACAGAUUGCAGUGUUGUGUAUUUUGCACUGAAUACAGCCUCCAGUAGCCUGUCCCCGAAGCUGGCCCCGCUGAGCACUCGGAUGAGACACUGGCCUUCGCGUGGGUGGAGUUCGGCAGACAGGACCCCAGGCCCACCAGCCGCUACCCACACUUGGGCCGAACCCCUGGGCGUUAAGCCCUGUGCCCCGGCCACUGAUAACUAGCUUGCUCGCCCCCACCAGACGAGCCGUACCCGCCGCUGUCCAGCCACUGACGAGACCCCUGCUAGACGAGCCAGAUCCGCCACUGACGAGGCCCCCACCAGACGGUUUGUGCCUACCACUGCCCCGCCGCUGUCCAGCCACUGACGAGGCCCCCACUAGACGAGCCGUACCCGCCGCUACCCCAAUGCUGUCCAGCCACGGGUGAGGUUCCCGCCGGGCGAACCGUACCUGCCGCUGCCCCAGUGCCCUCCAGCUUCUAUCCCCCCGGCCUCUACACUCUCCUGGGCCACGACGACUGAACCCCCCCCCUUCCCUUUAGUAUAAAUUUUACCCCCCAAUAAAGAUUUUUUGAUUUUAACUUUA